rnacentral:rRNA from 1 species
GACGAACGCUGGCGGCGUGCCUAAUACAUGCAAGUCGAGCGAUGAAGAUUGGUGCUUGCACCAAUUUGAAGAGCAGCGAACGGGUGAGUAACGCGUGGGGAAUCUGCCUUAGAGCGGGGGACAACAUUUGGAAACGAAUGCUAAUACCGCAUAAUAACUUUAAACAUAAGUUUUAAGUUUGAAAGAUGCAAUUGCAUCACUCAAAGAUGAUCCCGCGUUGUAUUAGCUAGUUGGUGAGGUAAAGGCUCACCAAGGCGAUGAUACAUAGCCGACCUGAGAGGGUGAGCGGCCACGUUGGGACUGGGACACGGCCCAAACUCCUACGGGAGGCAGCAGUAGGGAAUCUUCGGCAAUGGACGAAAGUCUGACCGAGCAACGCCGCGUGAGUGAAGAAGGUUUUCGGAUCGUAAAACUCUGUUGGUAGAGAAGAACGUUGGUGAGAGUGGAAAGCUCAUCAAGUGACGGUAACUACCCAGAAAGGGACGGCUAACUACGCG